CCAGCGAUUUAGCACUGACUCCACAGGAGAAUGGACUCCUCUGUAUUUGAUCUUUUCUCCACUCGGCAUGGGGCGUGGUCCCAGCGGACUGCACCACAGAACACCUCUG